CAGAAAGCCAAUCACUGAGACAGUGAGUAUUGCCAGGCAAGAAGGCUUUAAUCAGGUGCUGCGGCCCAGGAGUUGGGAAAUCAGUCUCAAAUCAACUGCCUGAGUGACUAAAAUUAAGGCUUUAUAUAGCAGAGAAGAAAUGUAACCAUGCAUGGAAGAACAAGAGUUAGGGAGGAGCAAAGAAGAGGAGUCAGUCAACAGGAAGCAGGUAGUGGGUUAGGCAAUCAUGACAAAAGAGUGGUUUCACCUCCCAUUGCCCAGAUGCUGUGAUUUGGUAAGUUUCAAUGUCUUGCUACUAUCUGGGAGGCCUGAUGGUUGGAUGAGAAAGGAACUCAGAGAAAACAAAUGUAACUUACUCAUGUUUCAAGACUGGGAGGGUCAAUUUCUAUGUCUAUUCAAAACAACCAUACACAUCAGUCCUAUGGGACAAUUGGGCUGGUUUCAAAUACUCAUUGCAUGGAUAUAUACAAUCUUUUAAAAAUCCUUUCACCUGUUGGUGGACAUUGGAUUGUUUCUACUUUUUGGCUAUCAUCCAUAAAUUCAUUAAAAGAAUUUUCAUGGAUAUAUUCUCUAAGGUAAAUGCCUAGGAGUGAAAUGGCUAGACCAUAGUGGGAUGCAGCUGAUGCCCUGUCCAGAUCUUCUUCAGGCCACUACAUCUAUAUAUGCAUUCAUAUUCCAGUGGCUGUGAGUGUUGGCUGUUGGUUGACAGAGGAGCUGCAUCCUCCUGGAGGAAACUGAACUCAGCUGAUGAAAGCCACCUGGUCCUGGAGGUGAAGCAUCUUCCAAAUGACAGCCUGCAGUCAAUGACUGAUGAAUAUGACUUCAUUGCCUCAUGACAGGACCUACUCUGGGGUAUAGAUCAUGCUUCUAAGCUCCUCCUGGGGUCCUGCUGAGGCUCAAUGCCAGCUGAAACCAUACCCUUGCUCACAUACUUUCCCUUCUCUUUCCUUCUUCCCUUGCUUCCUUAGAGAUUCCUCCUGCAAUGGCUUCCUCAAAAAAGCAUUUUCAUAAGCAACCUCAUGUCAGCCUCUGCUUCCACAGAAGCCAAUCUGAGUUAAGCAGCUGUUUAACUUAGCAUGUCCAACAUAAAAUUCUUGUUUUCUUCUCAUCCCCUGCCCCUGAACGUUCUCCUUUGCCUGUCUUUCUUAUCUCAUUGAAAGUAACAACACAAGUAUCAAGUGAAAAUAAAAGAAUCUUCUCUGAUUUCUUUCUUUCUAAUGUAUUAUUAAAUUCUACUGAUAUUACCAAUAUCUAUUCAAAUACCAACCUAGUCUAAGAUACUAUCAUCUGUCUUCUAGACUUCAACUGGGUUCCUAACACUGAUGGUAUUACACAAUUUUUGCAAUGAAGUCUUACCCACCUAUAAUCCAUUUUCCAUAAAGCAGCAUUAUCAUUUUCUAAGUCACACACUGUAGUUUUAAUACAAUCCCAAACUAACAAGCUUGAAGAAAUAAAAUUAUUGUUAAAAUUGUAAAAAUUACGGAGUCUUAUAUUUAACUAAUCAUGGUACCUUUCCUCAAUAUCAAUUAUACCAAACACUUCCAAUGCAUAAAUUCACUAAAUUACUUGUCUCUGAAUAGUAAUAAUUAUUGUAAAACUCAAUUAAAAUGGUGUUUCUAUCUAAGUCAUUUCCAAAUGACGAGUUGAUGGGUGCAGCAAACCAACAUGGAACAUGUAUACCUAUGUAACAAACCUGCACGUUGUGCACAUGUACACCAGAACUUAAAGUAUAAUAAUAAAAAAUAAAGUAUUACAGAACAUGGUCAAUUAUAUUAAAAAGUAGAUUAAUUAAUGUCCAUAUAUACAUUUUUUGGUGGAA
rnacentral:lncRNA from 1 species